UAUAAUAUGAAAAAACUUUAACGAUCGUUAAUCUUUUUUUCUAGGAACUUGGAUUGUAAUUAACAUACAGACUGAAGACCGGAAAAAAUAUGACACUUUCAAUAUAUUACGCUAUAUACAGUCCGUUAACCAGACACUAACAAAACAAUUACUAUAACAAUAACAUCAUUAACAUAAUACAAUAAGUACGGAACACAUGAAUUACGUGUUUUGUCCAAAGAAUAAGAAUGCCUCCGACAAUAGAUUCGCAACAUACGUUUGAACGGCGUUCCUAUAGAAAUUAUUAAAAGUUUUCACUUAUUUGUUUUCUUCCUUUUACGUGACAUCCGCAUAUUGUUUCUAUACUGAUAUAAACACACGGAAUGACCAAAAUGCAAACAUUGUCAUAAACGACAUCAAUUUUAACUCAUCUUUUUGCGUUCAUUUAUACUUAGUACUUUAUAAAAUGGUGUCCAAGUCUCCAAUUGUCAUAAUAUGCAUUUUUGCAAUAGUCCAAAUGGCUUUUUGCGCGCUACCAACCAAUUUUGAAAUGCCAUCCAA